GACGAACGCUGGCGGCGUGCCUAAUACAUGCAAGUAGGACGCAGUUGCGAACGGGUGAGGAACGAGUAGGUAACUACCUAUUAGAGGGGGAGAAAUAUUGGAAACGAUAGCUAAUACCGCAUACUAGUAGAUGGAACUGCGUUGUAUUAGCUAGUAGGUAGGGGAAUGGCCUACCUAGGCAACGAUACAUAGCCGACCUGAGUGGGUGAUCGGACACACUGGGACUUGGACACGUCCCAGACUCCUACGGGAGGCAGCAGUAGGGAAUCUUCGGCAAUGUGGUGAACCCUGACCGGUCAACGCCGCGUGAGUGAAGAAGGUUUUCGGAUCUUAAAGCUCUGUUGUUAAGGAAGCGGUACUUAACCAGAAAGGGUCGGCUAACUACGUGCCAGCAGCCGCGGUAAUUC
rnacentral:rRNA from 1 species